rnacentral:rRNA from 1 species
UACGGAGGGUGCAAGCGUUUGUCCGGAUUUAUUGGGUUUAAAGGGUGCGUAGGCGGCCCUGUAAGUCAGUGGUGAAAUACUGCAGCUUAACUGUAGCAUUGCCAUUGAUACUGCAGGGGCUUGAGUACAGAUGAGGUAGGCGGAAUUGAUGGUGUAGCGGUGAAAUGCAUAGAUACCAUCAAGAACACCGAUUGCGAAGGCAGCUUACUAAGCUGUAACUGACGCUGAGGCACGAAAAGCGUGGGGAUCGAACAGG